UUUGUCAGCGGGACUGAGUGAGAUUUACUUAGGCAGAUAUCGCCACUAAUGUUGCCAGAUCGAAUCAUUGGGUGCAAGAUGUUCCAGAUGGGUUGUUGCAAUGGAUGUUGGUAUGCAGACCAGCAGUGUGGAUAACCAUGGCACGAAGUUUUGCAGACCUUGAUUGAAAUUGGCGCAAAUUGCAAAUCUGGACUAGGGGUUAGCAAAGACCAGCAUAAAGAGGUGGUCAUGGACAAUGAAGUGCCAUUGAGGAUUUGGAGAAAUCUGACAGUUUACAGGCAGCUAUCCAGCUUAAUACUGUCUCGAUGCAAUUAUUACAACAGCAUUUUUUUUGAAGUGGUAUUUCAAAAAUUUGAAUAGUGUUUACCACUAAAGCUCAGUUUUUUCGUAUUAAAUGUUAACAUGUUGAAGAUUGUGUUUACUUUAAUUGUCUAAUAAAUACUCAUUAAACUAAA